rnacentral:rRNA from 1 species
UACGUAGGGUCCGCGCGUUGUCCGGAAUUACUGGGCGUAAAGAGCUCGUAGGUGGUUUGUCGCGUUGUUCGUGAAAACUCACAGCUCAACUGUGGGCGUGCGGGCGAUACGGGCAGACUUGAGUACUGCAGGGGAGACUGGAAUUCCUGGUGUAGCGGUGGAAUGCGCAGAUAUCAGGAGGAACACCGGUGGCGAAGGCGGGUCUCUGGGCAGUAACUGACGCUGAGGAGCGAAAGCGUGGGGAGCGAACAGG